GACGAACGCUGGCGGCGUGCUUAACACAUGCAAGUCGAACGGAAAGGCCCUGCUUUUGUGGGGUGCUCGAGUGGCGAACGGGGGAGUAACACGUGAGUAACCUGCCCUUGACUUUGGGAUAACUUCAGGAAACUGGGGCUAAUACCGGAUAGGAGCUCCUGCUGCAUGGUGGGGGUGGGAAAGUUUCGGCGGGUGGGGAUGGACUCGCGGCUUAUCAGCUUGUUGGUGGGGUAGUGGCUUGCCAAGGCUUUGACGGGUAGCCGGCCGGGGAGGGUGACCGGCGACAAGGGGACUGAGGUACGGACCAGACUCCUACGGGAGGCAGCAGUGGGGAAUAUUGCACAAUGGGCGGAAGCCUGAUGCAGCAACGCCGCGUGCGUGAUGACGGCCUUCGGGUUGAAAACCGCUUUCGCCUGUGACGAAGCGUUAGUGACGGUAAUGGGUAAAGAAGCACCGGCUAACUACGUG
rnacentral:rRNA from 1 species